AGAUUGAACGCUGGCGGCAGGCCUAACACAUGCAAGUCGAGCGGUAGAGAGGUGCUUGCACCUCUUGAGAGCGGCGGACGGGUGAGUAAUGCCUAGGAGUCUGCCUAGUGGUGGGGGAUAACGUUCGGAAACGGACGCUAAUACCGCAUACGUCCUACGGGAGAAGGCGGGGGACCUUCGGGCCUCGCGCCAUUAGAUGAGCCUAGGUCGGAUUAGCUAGUUGGUGAGGUAAUGGCUCACCAAGGCGACGAUCCGUAACUGGUCUGAGAGGAUGAUCAGUCACACUGGAACUGAGACACGGUCCAGACUCCUACGGGAGGCAGCAGUGGGAAUAUUGGACAAUGGGCGAAAGCCUGAUCCAGCCAUGCCGCGUGUGAAGAAGGUCUUCGGAUUGUAAAGCACUUUAAGUUGAGAGGAAGGUUGUAACUUAAUACGUUGCAAUUUGACGUUACCGACAGAAUAAGCACCGGCUAACUUCGUAGCCAGCAGCCGCGUUAA
rnacentral:rRNA from 1 species